rnacentral:sRNA from 1 species
UAGAAAUCUGUCCCUGGUUCUGUAGGUUC